ensembl:lncRNA
UUUGUGCCUUGGGUAAAUGUCCUAACAUUUAAGUAGUUUAAGUAUUUCCUGAGAUGCUGGAAUCCAAAACUUUUAUUCCAAAAUAAGACCUGACACUGCUGCUAAUGCAGAGAACAUCUCAUUACCAAACUUUGAGACUUCUCUCUACAUUGUGGGAUAUUUUAGAAACCAAUUCACUGGUCCUGUUCACUGAUUAUCUCAAGGCAAGUGGGUGCUAUUGAUUUGUUAGCCACUAUGGUCCCAAACCCGACUUGGACAGUGAAACACAGGUAGCAGGUGGACUGUUCAGAAGAAGCUUAGAGGACAGAAUGGAAGCUGGAAGAUCCAUUAGAAAUUGUUCUAAGUAGGACAGAGAAAAUAGGAAGUAGGAGACAAGAUGACUACCCCCAGAGAAAGGAUGGCUCAGAGAGAGUAAAUUUUGUUGAGGGCUGUGCCUCGGGGACACACCAGAUGAGUCAGCCAGCUGCCACAGUUUGACUAGAAAGCAGGAAGUAAAGCCAUGUUGACCACAGUUGCCAGAGGCAAAGCCAGCAAGAAUUAGAAGAGGAGAGGCGCUUGUAAGCCCAGGAGGUUAGCUGAGAGGAUUUUUCUCCAAGACAACUCAUUCAGGAAAGCUGAGAGAUCACUCAAAAGGAUGAGCCUCACCUGAAAGCCCCAGGGAGCAACAAAGAGCCAAAAGGACUGUGUGAAAGAAACAGGCUUCGUAGACUACAUUCCACAGAAAUUAUGAAUCUUUACAGUUAUAAUUGUAUACAAAAUUUGUUGUUCAUUAAGAUUUUAAAUAUAUCUUUGUGGACUACUGCUUACCCUGUAUGCCCUAAGGAGCAGUAAAAAAUGAGAAGUCAGCCACUUGGAAAUAUUCUGUGAAAGUAAUUCCUCUGGAAAAUGAGUAGAAUACGGAGUAAAGAGAUAUUUGAUACUCAUCCUUGCCGAAGAAAACAUGCAAAAUCAAAAUGUUAAUCUGGUCUACCCUAAACAUUCUCCAGCAGUAUACCCUAAAUAUUCUCUAGCAGUAUGACCAAUGCAUUACAAAUAAGCAGCUGCUCCUUCAAAAUGUUAACUGAAACCUCCAACAAUAUAUAUCACAGCAACUCCAUGGGAAAAGCAUUUCUACAGUUUUACGAAAGAGCACACUUAGGUUCAAAGGUGAAAUGAUUCUCACUCAAAAUCGCAACAGCUGCCUGUACCUGGACAGUGACAGACCUCCUACAAACUGAGGACAUGAACAGAGUUCACAGAAAGAAAAACGCAAAUGCCAAUAAAAACAUUGAACCUCAACUGCAUCAAAAUCAGAGAGAUCAACACUAAAGCAACAAAUACUGCACACCUUUUAUGUAUCAAGUUGGCACAUUUAAGGAGUUCAAACUUUUCCGAUGACGAAAAGGAUGUGCAGGUGAAAGCAUUCUCCUUCAUUCCUGGUAGGUAUGUGAAUUGCUACAACUUUUUGGAAAGUCAUCUAAUUAAUACCUAGUACAAUUAAAAAUUCCUUUACAUUUUAGUGAUUGACUAGAGAAAGAUUAGUCUUUUCAACAAAUAGCACUGAAGCAAUGGGACAACUAUAGGUGAGAAAAAUGAAGCUGAGAUUACUUCAGUCAUGUGUCAUCUGCUCAAUACAAGAGCAGAGGUCUCUUUAUUUCAAGUCAACAAUGAUUUCCAGUGGGCUCGGUAGUCACUAAUCAGAACUUUUAAAGUAACUUUUCUUUAUCUGUUCAACUUUGCAUAUGGAAUACCAUGUAUUUUUCUGCCAGAGAUUCUUUUAUGGCACUAUAAAGUCAUCCUGGAAGUCUGACUAUGACUCUGCUUUGCAUAAAGUGGAGAAACACAAAAUUCUGAAAAUGAAUUUCAGCCAGCGAAACUUUUCUCAAGAAGACAAAAUCCCACGAGGUCUUGUUUUCAACAUACGUGCACACUACAUAUUUUCAUGAUCAAAGCAAGUCAACAUUAUUACAAGAAAAAUAGCUCUCAGAAUUAUACUACAACUGGAUCAACUUUUCGGCAUUGACCUCCGCUGUUAUUAGUCGGAAUAAUACUCUCAGACCUUAAAGAAUUAUGGCUGAAAAUGCUUGUAAUUGCCCUUGUGAUUUAAAUAACGAUGAUGCUUGGGUUGUGCCUUUUCUCCCCCCAGAGCUAUUUGUAGUUGUACCAACAAACUUGACGGGUAGAAUUUGGCCUCUUACUCAUAACUUCGAAAACAAAUGUCUCAUGCACAUUUUAGGCAACUAUGUAUAACAAUUUAUGUCAGCCCCAGCUUCUAAGCAAAUAUUGUAUAAAAAAAGUUGUUACCUACUCUGUUUCCAUAAAAAAUCUUUAACUCUGUAAAAGUUGGAAAAGAAAGUUAGAUUUUAAAUAAAAGUUAUUUUCAAUAUCUCAAAGAAAACUGCCUCGUGUGUUUAUUAAAUUGACUUUGCACAGGCGAAAUAGAAAACUGAAACAAGUAUUUUUAAAAAAAGAAUGAUGGGGCCAGCCCGG